UUUUAUUCCAAUUUCAUGUUAUUGUGCUUUUUCUUGGAUUUAAUUUUUUUGCAUUUUUAGAAGUUGAUCUUUUUUGCAUGGAGAAUUCAUUUCUGGUGGUGAUUGGUUUGGUGCGGUGUAUUCUGUGAAAGCCAAAUUUUGUGUAAGUCAAAAGAGAAACUUAGGGCACAAUUUGAUUUGCUAUUAAAAUUAAAACUGAAAUUGGAAUGAAUUGGAAUAGAAAUUGGAGGGGUUAUAUCUCUAACAUAUUUGGUUCAUGAUCCAAAUCAAAAUUAAAAUUGAAAUAUAAUUUGAAUACUAAAAAAGAGUAAG
rnacentral:lncRNA from 1 species